GCCCUGGGCCGACUCACUCACCAAAACUUUGCAGACGGCGCUGGGGAGAAUUAAUCCCGGAGUCGCCGUCUACGCGGCCCUGGGGGGUUAGGACGCCCGCCGGGGAGAGACCGUGUACUCGCCGCGCGCGAAGGUCGGAAAGCGGUCGGUCCAGGAGCAGGACAAAAAGGACAAGACAUCCUCCCAUCCUGGCGCCCCCACUGAGCACUCUUCCCCGAGUGCCAGACAGCUGGCGCAGUUCCACGGGCUCAUGCUGUCAACAGGAUCAGCGAGACCUCACGGAGAAGCCUCUAGCACAGCAAGCGGCUCGGCCGAGACGCUGCCGCCUGCUUCUGUGCACCCAGCAUCCCCCACCCAUCCCAGGAGACAAGAAACGCCUUACGGGGGAAUCACAGAAUAAAACUAGAGCGGGGCAGCACCAGAGACGAACGCACAUCUGGUCUGUAUCCGCCUGACAUAAAAUUCUGAGAUCUAAACACAGAUGAGCUCGAGACGGGCCCUUUUAUUUCUACAGCAGUCGCGGUAAUCCACCCUUGUAGAGAUCUAGCUCAGCUGGGUCUGUCUGCUCUGACAGCAGGAAUACUGGCUUGUAGAUAUAUCCCUUGGACACCCCAGGUCUCUAAAGUAUACAGACAACUCUGUACACACAGCCCUUUUAACUCUGUGCAGACAACCUUUUUAACUC
ensembl:lncRNA